CCCGGGGGCACAGAAGAGAUAAUACCAGAAGUCUUACUCAAGCGGAAACAUGUCCCAUCUUUUUUAUUGCGCAUGCGCGAGCUAAACAAGUGUAAUGCAAUGUUGACAAUAGAAAAUUAUAUUGGGAAGUUGUCAUUCCUACAGUAUAAACAGCUUUUUUUCAAGUAGUACGAAAUGUGACUUCGAUUUAUCUGUGGAACUAUUUCAACAGAAGGUAAAGCAGUAAUUUUGUUGUAUUUAGAAAGCAAACAGGGUCAUAUUUUAAAGAAAAUAGCGCACUAAAUAUAAAUUUGAGCAUCAUUAAAAUGUGUUCGCUAUGAUGCCAUUUUGUCUCGAGUAUAUACGGAGUACUGCUUUUAUACUGGUGGAUAUUCGAAUUUAUUUGGCUCAAAAACACCAUUACUUCAAUAUCCCUUUCUUGUUUUUCCUUGGAUAGGUUUUAACAAGAUAGAACUCUAGAUCACUUGGGUCCAAAAACGCUAGAUUAUAAAAUCCUGAUGUGACUUGAUACUACAAAUAGAAUAUGUCUUGUGAUGUAUUAAUACUACAAAUAGAAUGACUUUUAAGUACAAACUUCAAUGAAUUGAUAAAGUGUAAGGAUAGUGUUUAAAGUUGCUUCAUGUGUAGAAGCUGAAUUACUUUAGUUUAUACACUGUAUAAGUGUCGAUAUCACAUGUUGAUAUGACUUUAAUACUAGCAACUUGCAAUAAGUGGUCUGUCCUGCUUGUUUAUAAUACUUUAGAGUUUGGACAUUAGAACAUUGUAAUUGCCUGACAGAGACUGUUAGGGCCUGUUUGUAUGGAAGCCGGGCUGGCCCGCUUAGCAAGACAGCCCGGUAAGGUAGAUACGCAGGAUGAUUUCUCUUGUGUUUAUUUGAGAAAAUUUCAUCCCGCUUACCGGCACAAUUUUGUUGUUUUGACAUUUGUUAAAAAUAGCUUGCAGCAGUAUCGUUGAACUUUCAUCCUGGCAACUGGGCUAGCCUGCUUGUGAUUGUUUAUAUGGAGAAAUUUCCAUCCUGGUCUCUGCAACAGGGCCUCCCGCUUGUACAUAGAAACAAUUUUAAUUAUAAUUUUUACUAUAAAAAUAAGUAGACAGCGAGAUCUCACUUACCGGGCUGUCUCACUUAGCGGGCCAGCCAGUUUCGAUAUAAACAGGCCCUUAAAAGCUGCAAGUUUACUUAAAGCAAUAUCGUCUAUAUCACAGAAUACAGUUUCUGUACUGACAUACUUUGUGUGUUUUCUGUCUUUAAAGUGUCUUAUGUUUGUAAUAUUUUUGUACAAUACCUUUUUGAAAUUGUUGAUACUGGUCUCAUUGUAACUCAGUUAUUCCUUCUCAAGAAAAAUAAAAAAACAAAGCUGUUUGGGUGUGUUUUUGCUCUAGUUUUUACAUCUACAUGAUUCAUGUACAAUUAAUGUACAUUUAAAUUAGCUUUGUUCAAUG